rnacentral:rRNA from 1 species
UACGUAGGGUCCGAGCGUUGUCCGGAAUUAUUGGGCGUAAAGGGCUCGUAGGCGGUCUGUUGCGUCGGGAGUGAAAACUUACAGCUUAACUGUGAGCGUGCUUUCGAUACGGGCAGACUUGAGGCAUUCAGGGGAGAACGGAAUUCCUGGUGUAGCGGUGAAAUGCGCAGAUAUCAGGAGGAACACCGGUGGCGAAGGCGGAUCUCUGGGCCUUACCUGACGCUGAGGCGCGAAAGCUAGGGGAGCAAACAGG